rnacentral:rRNA from 1 species
UGGGGAAUCUUGGACAAUGGGGGCAACCCUGAUCCAGCCAUGCCGCGUGUGUGAAGAAGGCUUUUUGGUUGUAAAGCACUUUAAGCAGUGAAGAAGACUCCAUGGUUAAUACCCAUGGACGAUGACAUUAGCUGCAGAAUAAGCACCGGCUAACUCUGUGCCAGCAGCCGCGGUAAUACAGCGGGUGCAAGCGUUAAUCGGAAGUACUGGGCGUAAAGCGAGCGUAGGUGGCUUGAUAAGUCAGAUGUGAAAGCCCCGGGCUUAACCUGGGAACGGCAUCUGAUACUGUUAGGCUAGAGUAGGUGAGAGGAAGGUAGAAUUCCAGGUGUAGCGGUGAAAUGCGUAGAGAUCUGGAGGAAUACCGAUGGCGAAGGCAGCCUUCUGGCAUCAUACUGACACUGAGGUUCGAAAGCGUGGGUAGCAAACA